AUGGAUAUAAUGUUUUGAGGCUUCGACAUGGAAAGACACGAUUGCUACUUAUCAAUAUAUGAGAUCAUUCAUGAUAAAACUAUAAAGAAAACGCUUUUCAGCGACAUUUGAGCUAAAAAAACCCGGUCUCAUAGUUUGCAUCCUUACUCAAAAAGUGAAGAACUUAAGUUGUAGUAGUGGUGCAUUACUUUGAGAGCUAUUGUAUAGCGAUAUUAGAUAUUGAAACAAGAACUCAGCCAUUCAAUGACAGUUUGUUUGUUCUGUGGGCAGUAAGACAUCCAGAUAAUGCCCAAGAGAAAGAUUCUUCUGAAAGUAAGAAACAAAAGCACCGAAAUAAACCUUUCUUCU